GCUAAGUAAAAGAGAACAUUAACUUCUAGUUUUGGCAGACAUUGUCAAAUUGCCCUCCCUAAGGGAGUCAUAGUUUUUUAAUUGUUAAAUGGUCUUAUUAUUUGUAGAUCAACAGAGAAGAAAUGAGUCAACGAUGGUGCAGGUGAUCUGUGCAGUGCUGUGCAGGGGAGGGGUCAAAGCUGUGAUGCUGGCAUGCAACUAACUCACCACUGUGAGCCAAUCACAAAAGCAGAAACUUGGCCAAGCUGGUUGUCUUUCUAGAAAGAAAGGGACCAGCUUGACGAAGCUUCUGCUUUUGUGACUGUCUCCUAAUGGUGAGUAUUGAGAAUUUCUUCUUACAGUCACAGCAGUGAAAAGGAACUUUUCAUCCAAAAAUUACAAAACAGAUUUAUGUUGAAAAUAAGGAGAACUUUGUUGGUGCCCUGGAAAAAUAUUUGAGAGAAGCAGAGAGUGAUUCCUUUUAUUGGGCCAGAGUGUAAAAGUCAGCUCAUUGGUCUCAAGGGAAGAAAAAGUUCUUUUCUUCAGUUGGCAAUUUGUUUUCAACGAAAGAUUUGGAAUGCCUUUUUCUUUUCUUUUUAAUAAAGGAAGGAUAUAGUUAGUUGACCAGGAAUUAGCUAGGGAUUAAGAAUCGGUUGGCUUGGCAAUAUUUCUACCUGCUUGCUGUGCAUAUACUUGAAUUAACAAUGGUCAAUAAUCAAAAGGGCAUUGAAAUGUGAGUUGGGCUGUGGAGGGACCGCCCCAAAUCUACUUCUCUGUAGUGUUGAACCCAGGGGCCUCACUUUGCCUCGCUGCAAUUCUGUGGUUUUUAAUUUAUCAUUUCCAGGAUCUGUGGGUUUCUUCAAGCUCCCAGACUUGCUCAGGCACAUUGCAAAUAGCCAUGAUUUGAGAUGAUUUUCUUUAAUGCUGAAGCAGAUGAAGAACCCAGGUUCUUUUUAGUGGCGAGGCUUGUUUAUCAGCAGCUAUAUAGCUAUGGGCACAGACACAGGUAAACAGCACAGACGCUGGGAGAGGGAUGGCAUCCAGACUCAGAAGAAGGCCAGCAUCUGACCGUGACCAUCACGCCCACGUGACAAAAGAUGUCACCAGAGUGAACAGUUCUGACCACAGUGGCCUUUCACCUGCUUCAUUAAAUUUAACUCACACCAGCUCAGAGGACAAUUUGAUUAAUUCUGUAUCUCAGCAGAAACCAGAGCACCUCAGAAGAUCAAGGCUUCCAAAUUCUCCUGGGGGAACAGACGUCAGCCACUCAGCACAAAGGCAACUUCCUUCUCUGUAUGUCAGAGGAAGACAUAAUUGUGCCAUUUCCUUCUUGAAGAAGUUUACAAACAUUUGCAAGUUGUCAAAAAUAAUUAGUCUAAAAUUGUUUCAUAAACCAUGGAAUGAAACAGUACGUGCCUUGUUGAGAUCAAAGGGCUUCUGUUACCUUCUUGUAAACCCAAAUGAAAUUCUUUUGAAAGUAAA